AUUGAACGCUGGCGGCAGGCCUAACACAUGCAAGUCGAGCGAGCGGCGGACGGGUGCGUAAUGUAUGGGGACUGCCCGAUAGAGGGGGGUAACUACUGGAAACGGUAGCUAAUACCGCAUACUAUCGGAUAACCCAUAUGGGAUUAGCUAGUAGGUGAGGUAAUGGCUCACCUAGGCGACGAUCCCUAGCUGGUCUGAGAGGAUGAUCAGGCAUGCUGGGACUGAGACACGGCCCAGAAUCCGCCGGAGGCAGCAGUAGGGAAUAUUGCGCGAUGGACGCAGGGCUGCUGCAGCAGUGCCGCGUGUAUGAAUAAGGCCCUAGGGGUGUAAAUUACUUUCAGUCGGGAUACGUUACCGACAGAAGAAGUACCGGCUAACUUCGUGCCAGCAGCCGCGGUAAUAC
rnacentral:rRNA from 1 species